rnacentral:rRNA from 1 species
GCUGAACUCUUUCUUCUUUCUUAACACAUGCAAGUCGAACGAAGCAUUUAAGACAGAUUACUUCGGUUUGAAGUCUUUUAUGACUGAGUGGCGGACGGGUGAGUAACGCGUGGGUAACCUGCCUCAUACAGGGGGACAGCAGCUGGAAACGGCUGGUAAUACCGCAUAAGCGCCCAGUACCACAUGGUACAGUGUGAAAAACUCCGGUGGUAUGAGAUGGACCCGCGUCUGAUUAGCUUGUUGGCGGGGUAACGGCCCACCAAGGCGACGAUCAGUAGCCGACCUGAGAGGGUGACCGGCCACAGUGGGACUGAGACACGGCCCAGACUCCUACGGGAGGCAGCAGUGGGGAAUAUUGCACAAUGGAGGAAACUCUGAUGCAGCGACGCCGCGUGAGUGAAGAAGUAGUUCGCUAUGUAAAGCUCUAUCAGCAGGGAAGAUAGUGACGGUACCUGACGAAGAAGCUCCGGCUAAAUACGUG